AUGUUGUGGUUUGUUGUCCUCUCAGUCUAUCAGGUGGAGGUGGAUUCAGGGGCGGAGUCUGUCCAGCUGCCCUGCAAAACCAUAGUUUGCCCGUGUAAAGUCGCUAAAGUGGUGUGGGAGGAUGAAGAGUACGAUGACGUCCAUGUGUAUCAGAACGGUUCUGACCAGCCUGAAGAACAGGACAGUGUUUACAAAGGUCGAACAGAGAUGAAGAGAAAACUGCUGGAACCUGGAGACCUCAGUCUGACCCUGAAAUACCCCACAGACACAGACAGUAAGACCUACACCUGCACCGUCUACAACAGGGAGGAAGACAUCCUGAUGGAGAAAGAUGUGGUGCUGAAGGUCAAAGUCUGUCAGGUGGAGGUGGAGGAGGGGGAGGAGUCUGUCCAGCUGCCCUUCAGAACUACACCUGACCUGCCUGAGGACGCUACAGUGAUGUGGGACUGCUAUAAAGGAUCAUACAGGAGAGUCCACCUGUAUAAGAACAGAUCUGACCAGCCUGGAAAACAAAACCAGGUUUACAAAGACAGAACAGAGAUGAAGAAAGACCUGCUGAAGACUGGAGACCUCAGUCUGACCCUGAAACACCUCAAAGAGACAGACACAGGAAGAUACGAGUGUGAAGUCUACAAGGAUGGAUACAGACUGAGAGUGAAAACAGUGAUGCUCAAAGUGAAAGGUCUGUAUGAAGAUACAGAACAGAGGUCUGUGUGUCUGUCUGUGAUUGGCUGCUUGUCUCUGGUUGGUUGCUUGUCUCUGAUUGGUUGCUUGUCUCUGGUUGGUUGCUUGUCUCUGGUUGGCUGCUCGUCUCUGGUUGGCUGCUUGUCUCUGGUUGGCUGCUUGUCUCUGGUUGGCUGCUUGUCUCUGUCUAACUGUCCUCUGUCUCCUCUGCAGGGAGAACUCGGAUCAAAGAUGAAACAGAGGACAUCAGGAACAGAAGCAGCUCCACUGAUCCGACUCCUCUGAUGGCUGAUCAAUCUGUUUGAUCGGUCUGUUGGUCAAUCUUUGAUUAUUGAUCUGAUGUGACUUUGGAUCAGAGACUAAAUGGAGGUGAAGGAGCUGAUGGAGGACGGAUGAAGACAGGAGGACGCUUCAUCAGCUUCUUCUUCACUCUGACUCUCACACACAGUCUACACACUCACUAUUGAUGACUAUUGAUCAGUGAUGUCAGAGUGAUGUCAGAGUGAUGUCACAUGGUGGUUUGGACUGAAACAUGCCACUUUAUAUGAAGUUUAGUGACAAACCUUUGAUGGAAAUACACACCAAAAGUUAAAUGUAAAGAUAUAUGUCUACUAAUUAUUGUUUUAUGCUUUCGAAAUAAAAAGAUGAUUUAAUCAAUGAAUAAAUGGACAUUCUUUCAUAUUUUAAUUUAUUUUGAGUCCAACGUCAUGUCUUUAAUGUGGAUCUGUGUCAUCUUCACUUCAUCAGUGUGUUUCAGCUGCAGGACCAUGUUUUCUUCACAGAAACACAUGAAGAACAGAU
rnacentral:lncRNA from 1 species